rnacentral:lncRNA from 1 species
AUGGAUCCCAAAGACCAUUGGAGACCCCCAAAACCCUCUGGAGACCCCCAAAGACCAUUGGUGGAUCCCAAAAAUCAAUGGAGAUCCCCAAAGACCAUCGAUGGACCCCAAAACCAUUGGAGACCCCCAAACACCGUUGGUGGAUCCCAAAAAUCAAUGGAGACCCCCAAAGACCAUCGAUGGACCCCAAAACCAUUGCAGACCCCCGAAACCCAACGGUGGACCACCAAAGACCAUCAAUGGAUCCCAAAGACCAUUGGAGACCCCCAAAGACCAUUGAUGGACCCCAAAGACCAUUGGGGACCCCCAAAAGCCUCUGAUGGAACCCAGAAAGCUUUGGAGACCCCCCAAAGACCACUGGAGAAUCCCAAGGCCAAUCGAUGGACCCCAGAGACCAUUGGAGACCCCAAAAAACCACUGGUGGACCCCCAAAGUGCUUGGGAGAACCUAAAGGCCACUGGUGGACCACCAAAGACCACUGGAGACCCACAAAGUCAAUCCAUGGAUCCCAAAGACCAUUGGAGACCCCCAAAAACCAUUGAUGGACCACCAAAGACCACUGGAGACCCCCAAAACCCAACGGUGGACCACCAAAGACCAUGGAUGGAUCCCAAAGACCAUUGGAGACCCCCAAAGACCAUCAAUGGACCCCAAAGACCAUUGGGGACCCCCAAAGACCAUGGAUGGAUCCCAAAGACCAUUGGAGACCCCCAAAGACCAUCGAUGGACCCCAAAGACCAUUGGGGACCCCCAAAGACCAUCGAUGGACCCCAAAGACCACUGGUGGACCACCAAAACCCUCUGAUGGAACCCAGAAACCUUUGGAGACCCCCCAAAGACCACUGGAGAAUCCCAAGGCCAAUUGAUGGACCCCAAAGACCACUGGAGACCCACAAAGUCAAUCCAUGGAUGCCAAAGACCAUUGGGGACCCCCAAAGACCAUUGAUGGACCCCAAAGACCAUUGGAGACCCCCCAAAACCCAACGGUGGACCACCAAAGACCAUGGAUGGAUCCCAAAGACCAUUGGAGACCCCCAAAGACCGUUGAUGGACCCCAAAGACCACUGGUGGACCACCAAAGACCAUUGA